GAUGAACGCUAGCGGCAGGCUUAAUACAUGCAAGUCGAGGGGCAGCAUGAUUGUAGCAAUACAAUUGAUGGCGACCGGCAAACGGGUGCGGAACACGUACACAACCUUCCAAUAAGUGGGGAAUAGCCCAGAGAAAUUUGGAUUAAUACCCCGUAACAUAACGAUGUGGCAUCACAUUGUUAUUAUAGAUUUUUCGCUUAUUGAUGGGUGUGCGGCUGAUUAGAUAGUUGGCGGGGUAACGGCCAGCCAAGUCUACGAUCAGUAGCUGAUGUGAGGGCAUGAUCAGCCACACGGGAACGGGGACACGGGCCCGACUCCUACGGGAGGCAGCAGUAAGGAAUAUUGGACAAUGGACGCAAGUCUGAUCCAGCCAUGCCGCGUGAAGGAUUAAGGUCCUCUGGAUUGUAAAGCUCUUUUAUAAGGGACGAAAAAAGGUCUUUCUAGAUCGUCUGACGGUACCUUAUGAAUAAGCACCGGCUAACUCCGUGCCAGCCGCCGCCGUAAAAC
rnacentral:rRNA from 1 species